AGAGCUAUACGCUAACGGAAAACAGAAAGUCUUCAAAACUUUCUAUCUGGGUUCGACUCCUAGUAGCUCUG
rnacentral:tRNA from 1 species